GCUCCGUUAGCUCAGUUGGAAGAGCGCUACCUUGGUAAGGUAGAGGUCUCGAGUUCGACUCUCGAACGGGGCU
rnacentral:tRNA from 1 species